rnacentral:lncRNA from 1 species
CAUGCUGGUACGGAAUAUACACUAGAGUGCAUGGAUAAAAAAGGGAAAGAUUGUACGUCCUUUUAUUUACUUUAAUGUCUCAUGUACAAAAAUAUUUUCAAUCCAGAAUAUACAACAUAUGUCAUAUGCAACAUAAUUGGCACCUUAACUUUAAACAUUUAAGGGUAAUUUAACAUGGGUCGAUACCACUUAAAAAGAAGAUAACAACAAACAAAAAAAGAACCCCAAGGAAAAUUCAAAAUGGAAAUUCCCUCAUCAAACUACAAAUCAAAAGCUCAAACACUUCAAACGAAUGGAAAACCACUGUCAUAUUUUUGACUGGGAUAAAGUAUUCCUUUAUGCAGAAAAUAGUGAAACAAGCCAGGUUUUAAAGCUAGCGGAACCUCUCACUUAUAUGACAUUCGUAUGAAAUUCCAUUAUAUUGACAACAAUGUGUGAGCAAAACAAACAGACAUGUUAGGUAAAAAUGUCAAUAAAUUGGGG